AGAGUUUGAUCCUGGCUCAGAAUCAACGCUGGCGGCGCGCCUAACACAUGCAAGUCGAACGAGAAAGUGGAGCAAUCCAUGAGUACAGUGGCGUACGGGUGAGUAACACGUGGGUGAUCUACCUUUUAGUGAGGAAUAACCGAGGGAAACUUUGGCUAAUACCGCAUAAGCCUGCAAAGGGAAAGCAGCAAUGCGCCGAGAGAGGAGUCCGCGGCCGAUUAGCUUGUUGGUAGGGUAACGGCCUACCAAGGCAAUGAUCGGUAGCCGGCCUGAGAGGGCACACGGCCACACUGGCACUGAAACACGGGCCAGACUCCUACGGGAGGCAGCAGUGGGGAAUCUUGCACAAUGGGGGAAACCCUGAUGCAGCGACGCCGCGUGAGCGAUGAAGCCCUUCGGGGUGUAAAGCUCUUUCGGCAGGAACGAUAAUGACGGUACCUGCAGAAGAAGCUGCGGCUAACUACGUGCCAGCAGCCGCGGUAAUACGUAGGCAGCAAGCGUUGUUCGGAAUUACUGGGCGUAAAGAGUGUGUAGGCGGUUCUCUAAGUUCCGUGUGAAAUCUCCCGGCUUAACUGGGAGGGUGCGCGGAAAACUGGAGGGCUGGAGUAUGGGAGAGGAAAGCGGAAUUCCUGGUGUAGCGGUGAAAUGCGUAGAUAUCAGGAGGAACACCUGCGGUGUAGACAGCUUUCUGGACCAUCACUGACGCUGAGACACGAAAGCGUGGGUAGCAAACAGGAUUAGAUACCCUAGUAGUCC
rnacentral:rRNA from 1 species